rnacentral:rRNA from 1 species
GCGGUCCCAGUUCGAAUUGAAGGCUGAAAUUCGCCUUCAUGAAGUCGGAAUUGCUAGUAAUGGCAGGUCAGCAUACUGCCGUGAAUACGUUCCCGGGCCUUGUACACACCGCCCGUCACACCAUGAGAGUUGGAGAUACCCGAAGCCUGUGAGCUAACUUUUAGAGGCAGCAGUCGAAGGUAGAAUCAAUGAUUGGGGUGAAGUCGUAACAAGGUAAC